GGGCGGUUAGCUCAGCUGGCUAGAGCGCGUGCCUUACACGCACGAUGUCAUAGGUUCAAAUCCUGUACCGCCCA
rnacentral:tRNA from 1 species